rnacentral:rRNA from 1 species
GACGAACGCUGGCGGCGUGCUUAACACAUGCAAGUCGAACGGAAAGGCCCUGCUUUUUUGGUGUUCUCGAGUGGCGAACGGGUGCGUAACACGUGAGUAACCUGCCCUUGACUUUGGGAUAACUUCAGGAAACUGGGGCUAAUACCGGAUAGGAUCUCCUGCUGCAUGGUGGGGGUUGGAAAGUUUCGGCGGUUGGGGAUGGACUCGCGGCUUAUCAGCUUGUUGGUGGGGUAGUGGCUUACCAAGGAUUUGACGGGUAGCCGGCCUGAGAGGGUGACCGGCCACAUUGGGACUGAGAUACGGCCCAGACUCCUACGGGGGGCAGCAGUGGGGAAUAUUGCACAAUGGGCGGAAGCCUGAUGCAGCAACGCCGCGUGCGGGAUGACGGCCUUCGGGUUGUAAACCGCUUUAGCCUGUGACGAAGCGUGAGUGACGGUAAUGGGUAAAGAAGCACCGGCUAACUACGUG